AAAACCGCCCACCCUGCAAGCUCUGUCGGACGCCGCGGUCCCCGCGCACCUGUGAUCCUACGCUAUCUGCUCGCGAACAGCUCCGCCGCGCUCGAGGCCGGGCUCGGCCGGCUUGAGCUCUCGGUGGCGGGACCCGCUCGACAGACGCGCUCUCCAUGCGGCCGCCAACCAUGUCUGGGCACUGUUUGCUCGCGCCCAUCCCCGAGUCCUCCUCCGACUGCCUCCUGCCCAAGGACAUCAAGCUGGCCGUGCUGGGCGCCGGCCGGGUGGGCAAGAGCGCAAUGAUCGUGCGCUUCCUGACCAAGAGAUUCAUCGGCGAUUAUGAACCGAAUACAGGCAAAUUGUAUUCACGGCUGGUCUACAUAGAGGGAGACCAGCUAUCCCUGCAGAUCCAGGACACCCCCGGGGGCAUCCAGGUCCAAGACAACCUGACCCAAGUAGUUGAUUCCCUGUCCAAGUGCGUGCAGUGGGCAGAGGGCUUUCUGCUGGUCUACUCCAUCACAGACUACGACAGCUACCAGUCCAUCCGCCCCCUUUACCACCACAUCCGGAAGGUCCACCCUGACUCUAGGGCCCCUGUCAUCAUCGUGGGCAACAAGGGAGACCUUCUCCAUGCCCGUCAGGUGCAAACGCAUGAUGGCAUUCAACUGGCCAAUGAACUCGGCAGCCUGUUCCUUGAAAUUUCCACCAGUGAAAACUAUGAGGACGUCUGUGAUGUGUUUCAGCAUCUCUGUAAAGAGGUGAGCAAGCUGCACAGCCUCAGCGGGGAGAGGAGGAGGGCCUCCAUCAUUCCCCGGCCGCGCUCUCCCAACAUGCAAGACCUCAAGAGGCGCUUCAAACAGGCUCUGUCUUCCAAAGUGAAAUCCCCCUCUGCACUGGGGUAAACCCAUCUCACACCAAUUUGGCUUUUUUUUUACUGUGCAUUUGUGCAGCUGAAAAAGACUGGGGACCUCCAUUUUUAAUUGCACAUUCAAAGUUUAUUUUUAUAAAGACUAUUGGUUUUCAAGUAUAUGUGUAUUUCUGAAAACCCAGUGAUUGCCUAGAAGUUGGUAGAGAUUUUUUUAAACAAAAUGAUUUUUUUUUUUUUACUCUAACUGCUAGCCACUUUUCCAUGAAAGGCAAAAUGGCAACAUUGCUCCUUGUUUUCUAAAUGCCUUUUUAUAGAAAUCAGACUUGCACCAGAGCCCAGAACGGCUCCAUGCUUGCCCUCAGUCUGAACUCCUCUCGGUGUUUUGUGGUACUAGGGGGGCUGAUGUAGAGGGAAUCUGUUGUGGAAGAAAGAAUGUGGAGGAGAAAAGAUUUGAGCAACUGCAGGAUGUCUGUCAACUAGGGCACUUUGCCACCGGCAUGAAAUUGAUACCAUGUGAUUUUCAAGGAAAGGGGUUCAUAGUAUGCUGGUGUUAACAAGUUGGAAACAUGAAUGGCUAUUUUAUUUAUGGUGCAAAUGGAAGUCUACCCUCUCUACCUGCAUUAGAAAACAGAAAUUCCUCAUGUCAUCUAGUGAGAAGAAUGUACCUGUUGGGACUAACUUUGGACUUUCAAUUCAAACCAAAGAUCUUAUUGUAAACCCUGUGAGUAGUAUCUUUUUGUAUAGUUAUAGAAUUGUGUUCUCCUUUUUACCUUGGUGGGAGAGGAGUUCCCAAGUGUUCAAGUGUUUACAAUGUUCAAACCACUUUUCGAACAAAGUAAAUUCACCCAAGGAAUAGUCAUACCCCUUGAAUCAGCACCCUGAGGACUUUGACCCAAUAAAUAAUCUUCCCAUUGGAUUACAAAUUGUCUUUUGCUAAAGGGCAUUUCACAGUGCAUGUUAGGAUUCAAUAAAGGGCAGAAUGAGA